rnacentral:rRNA from 1 species
AGUGAACGCUGGCGGUAGGCCUAACACAUGCAAGUCGAACGGCAGCACAGUAAGAGCUUGCUCUUACGGGUGGCGAGUGGCGGACGGGUGAGGAAUACAUCGGAAUCUACUUUUUCGUGGGGGAUAACGUAGGGAAACUUACUCUAAUACCGCAUACGACCUACGGGUGAAAGCAGGGGAUCUUCUGACCUUGCGCGAUUGAAUUAGCCGAUGUCGGAUUAGCUAGUUGGCGGGGUAAAGGCCCACCAAGGCGACGAUCCGUAGCCGGUCUGAGAGGAUGAUCAGCCACACUGGAACUGAGACACGGUCCAGACUCCUAAGGGAGGGAGCAGUGGGGAAUAUUGGACAAAGGGGGGAAGCCUGAUCCAGCCAUACCGCGUGGGUGAAGAAGGCCUUCGGGUUGUAAAGACCUUUUGUUGGGAAAGAAAAGCAGCAGGUUAAUACCCCGCUGUUCUGACGGUAACCAAAGAAUAAGCACCGGCUAACUUCGUG